rnacentral:rRNA from 1 species
UAUUAUUCUUGAUUCAAAUUAAAAAGCUAAAGUAAUAAUCAUUUAUAAGCUAGAAACUUAAAGGAUUUGGCAUUUUUUAGUCCCGUUAGAGGAACAUGUCCAAUAAUCGAUAAACCACGAAAAAUCUUAUUCUACCUAGUAUCUAGCAGUUUGUAUACAGCCAUUAUCAGGUAUGCUUAACAGGGUUUCGCUCAAAUAGGUAUCUUUAUAGAUCUAAAAAAUUAGGUCAAGGUGCAGCUUAUGGUGGAGAAGUGAGAUGGGUUACAAUUUAAUUUUCAUUUAGAAAAAUAUAAUGAAUAAAAGAUUGAAAAAAAUUUUAAGGCAGAUUUAAUAGUAAUAUUUGCUUAAUAUGGUAGAAUGAUACUGGCUCUAAAAUAU